rnacentral:precursor_RNA from 1 species
UUAUAUCUUCCUAUUGAUUUGUUAUGGACUGAAACUGAUCAAUCUCUGUCCAUAACAAAUCAACAAGAAGAUACAA